CCUACGGGUGGCUGCAGUGGGGAAUAUUGGACAAUGGGGGGAACCCUGAUCCAGCCAUGCUGCGUGUGUGAAGAAGGCCCUCGGGUUGUAAAGCACUUUCAGUGAGGAAGAACGCCUGGUGGUUAAUACCCAUCAGGAAAGACAUCACUCACAGAAGAAGCACCGGCUAACUCCGUGCCAGCAGCCGCGGUAAUACGGAGGGUGCGAGCGUUAAUCGGAAUUACUGGGCGUAAAGCGCGCGUAGGUGGCUUGAUAAGCCGGUUGUGAAAGCCCCGGGCUCAACCUGGGAACGGCAUCCGGAACUGUCAAGCUAGAGUGCAGGAGAGGAAGGUAGAAUUCCCGGUGUAGCGGUGAAAUGCGUAGAGAUCGGGAGGAAUACCAGUGGCGAAGGCGGCCUUCUGGACUGACACUGACACUGAGGUGCGAAAGCGUGGGUAGCAAACAGGAUUAGAUACCCGAGUAGUC
rnacentral:rRNA from 1 species